rnacentral:rRNA from 1 species
UACGUAGGGGCCGAGCGUUGUCCGGAGUUAUUGGGCGUAAAGCGCGCGCAGGCGGCCUCGCGCGCCCGACGUGAAAGCCCCCGGCUUAACCGGGGAGGGUCGUUGAGGACGGCGGGGCUUGAGGGCGGGAGAGGUCGGUGGAAUUCCCGGUGUAGUGGUGAAAUGCGUAGAGAUCGGGAGGAACACCUGUGGCGAAGGCGGCCGACUGGGCCGACCCUGACGCUGAGGCGCGAAAGCGUGGGGAGCGAACAGG